UCGGCAUCAAAUGAGUACGGUGUGUAAACAUCGCCACCGGGGAGACAAAGGCGGCCGGGCGUGGUGUGAGCCACCCCACCCACACCCGAGGAUCGGCGAGCGGGGCCGCCAUCGCAAAUUGCCAGCCCUCGCAAACAACAGCGGUCGGUAAGUAAGCUCUUGACUAUGCAUAUAUUAUUGUUGUGUUACAUAUAGAUUUUAUAUAUCAGGUAUGUAGCCUUCUCUUUGUGCCCGGCGCUUAAGGGCUGCAGUUUUUGAUAGCGGCAAGUUUGAGUAACUCACGUGUACAGUAUUUUGGCAGGACAAAUGCUACUGUACUAACAUGCGUGGAAAUAUCACAGAAUCGUUUUGCGCGUUACCCCCUCCCCCCACCUAUAGGUUCACUCAAUGUUUAUUUUACUUUCUAUCGAAAACAAGUGUUAAGAUAAGCGUUUAAAAGUCAAACUUAACCAAGUCGUCAAUUUAAGUGUCUUUUGUACAUUUAUGUUCGUAGGUUUGAAUAUAUUCUGUCUAGAUUCGUUGAUAAAGAAUGCAACCUUCUCUGGCUACUAUUAGCCCUCUUGUAGAAUUGUGUUUCAAACGAUUACCCUCGCUUGCCUGACCCGUCACGGCUCUGAGAAAUAAAUGUAUGACUAAUGGACAUCAAUGUUAACCAGUUGUCCAUUUUGUGAGGUAUCCCUAACUAGCCAGUAACUUGUAAGCGGAUAAAAAAAUCAACGGCGUAAUUUGUUCGCGCUCGCUGGUUACUUUUGGAAACAACAUUGUUGAUAAUUAAUUUAGAAAGGUCUUUUAUACCGAUCUAGGUCACGAUAUGGACUUCGAUGUUAGCGUGGCAGAUUCAUACGUGAUUAUUCACCAGUGACUCAUGUUUGCUAUAAUUUCACACAUUUAUAAAUCACCUCACGUACCCCCCCCCGGUUGCGAACCACUGGCCUAGAGAAGCCAUUAGUGACAGACAUUACCAUCACAUCGACAGUGAGGAUGGCUUUAUGAGACCCAAGGCGACAUGAAAUGCACAAAAGACGUUUGAACUGCCAAUGUGUUCUUUGCGCGGCAUUGACCUGCAAGGCUGUGAGCCUGAAAUCGGUGAAAUAAUGCAAAACGAUCCCACCCAGUUGUCGCGUCAUUGAAAAUGACCCUGAAGAAGAAUGCAGUCGUGUAUUUUGACGGUACACUAUAUGAAAUGCACAAUCGAUGAUUCAUCUAGAUGAAGGGUGAGCAGUCAGAUUCAUUCCCUCACCCAUGUUAACAAUGUUGGUCUACCGCACCGACUGUUUGCUCUCAUGUACACAGCGCACAGCGAAUGACUUGGUGUUUCUACUUUGGCAGUGGUACACAAGCACAACAACAAAUACAUGGACGCAUUCGUCAAUAACACUGGCUUCUUCCAGGAUAAAAUAUGGACAGUAAACCCUCUCAAACCACAAGGGUUAUGUUCUUGAAAACGCGCGCGAAUGCAGAAACCUUGUUGACCAGGAAAAAUGGGGUUACGUUCCUGGCACGAGUGAACAUAGGGGGGAAUAGUAAAUGUUUAAUACCACUGACUACAAUAAAUAAUAAAAUAUGAAUGACAAUUCGUUUUGAUUACCUUUCAUGAUGAUUUGAUGACAAUGGAGAUGGUGAGGAAUUCAGGUGGACGACUCAUCGGGAGAUGCAGGUGUUUGAUAACAACAACGCACAGUUAUCAUUUUAGCACUCGAGAGCACGUCUGUGAUAGGCCGACAUUUUGGCGUGGACUGUGAGAUCCAUCAAGAAUGAGGCGAAUGCAAUCGGGGAAAGUGUUGCGGCUAUCGCCACCCAGUGCUGUGUUCUCUUAUCAAUAACUUAUCACAUUUUUACUGUGAACAAGAUUUCUACAUAUUCUUGGUUCUUUCGGUAAAGUCACGUUGAAGGGAAACAAUAAGAUAUAAAUAUAAAACAAUAAAAUUCUUGCGACGUUUCGACUGCAACACAAGGCUGUAACCCUCGUGAAUAGAGAAGGUUUACUAUAUUGGCAUAGUCACUCUGGUUUGUCAGUGCGUCGUCAGCCGCGAGCCGGUGGGUGGUGUCAGGGAAAGCUGUCCCAGGUAGUCCAGGAAGCCGGUAACAUGACUUCUAUGAUUUCAUGGGUGCCACACAUUUCUAUUUACAGCGAUGUUCAAUGUACUGCUGGAUCACGGCUUUCCUACUAGAGCUCCUUCUACUGGAGGCCCCUUCCACCAACAGUGACAUAUCCAGACUACUACUUCUACCCCUCGGUCUGCUGUUGUUCCUUGUCCUUGAAGUUUACAAUAUUUCCAUUGCCAUUAUAAACAAGGUGAAUAUUUUUCUCCAUGUUUCAUUUUUGUAACUAUUUGACCAGAUGGUGUCAGUAAAUACAAGUGAUAGCAAGGAACUCGCAUAAAAAGGCAGAUUUAGCCACUUCACAGAGCUUCAUAUAGGGAAAAAAAUACACCGCAUUCCCAUAUUUAUUUAAUAGUGGACUGACCUAUGUUUGGGAACUGGAAAAGUGGGUCAAGUCGGGGUUCCCACGGCAGUGGGGCACGAGGUCAAGAAAGCUGUGAUCGGGCCACUCGACCUGCUUUAGCAUGGAUGGAAACAGUGGUGACUUCAUAGUAAACAUUUUCAAAACAUUGAGACAACCCAAACAUAAGUUCUUUAUAUAUUUUUUUCAUGGAUUGUUGCCUUCCAGCCAUGCAGGGGAUGGCAGGGAAGGGGUUUAAUCCAAGUCAAUCAAUCUUCUUGGGAGAAGAACCAAGCCAAUCAAUUCGAGGAACAGCGCAGCUUGCGUCUCGUUUGUCAUCGCAGAGACGUAGCAUCAGUUUGCUUUUAGGACAGCGGUGAGGAACUUACGGCCUGUGGGCAACAUAUUGACCACAAAUUAAUUUUAUAUGGCUAGCAGCCACAUGACGCUGACCACUUCAAAACUACCCACAAAUCAUACUUAUCCAUAACGGCAAGCAUCUUAGCCUCACUUAUCCGGUGCUGCAGGGGAAUAUUUUUGACCGGGAAACACUUUCUAAUUGUAGCACACUCAAUCAGUGCAGUCUUUGUAAUGCUUGGUCAGCGUGCACUUUGUUUUCCCUGUUAUUUUAUAUAGCUAAGGUGUGUGGUGAUGUGUAGCCUGCCAAAGUUAUUUGAGAGCUCUUAAUUGGUGUUUCAUAAAGAAAAGGUUCAAUAUGAAAUCCAAAUGUAGACCUUCAGGGUCGAUAUCAAGGCUUUUAAUCUGUUGCUGGUCUAUAACCAAUUGCCUUGAAUGCAUCUGAUCUCAGAAGCGAAGUAGUGUUGAGCCUGGUGGAUGGUGCUUGAAAGAGCACCCACCACAGCAGGUUCUUUAGAAGAAGCUGGAGUGCUGCGUGAUUUGCAGCAGAGGGCAGUGCAGCAACAUCCAUUUCCACGCUCCCACAUCUAUAUACUGGAAGCCUUCACUAACCUGCACCGACUAGCCUGGUGAAGUAUGGUCAAUUAACUCACACGACCCCCACUUUGUGUGGAGGUCCUCAUCCAGCAGAAAAAGUUGGAAAGGGUUACAAAUCUAUAUUCAUAUUUUGUUGUAUCCAUGUUUAUUACAUGAUAGUGCGUGCCCCAUUCAUGUUCAAACUGCAUACUUUGGUAAACAUGCAAAUAAAUGUGUUUCAUCGCACAUUUAAUUCCAUUGAGCAAUGGCCAUUUCACAUCGGUAAUUAAAAACUGUCCCGAAUGUACCUUAUUUAAUACAUACAGUACCUCAUGGCUUUCAAUGUGAACCGUUACAGGAAGAACGCUUAUGAAAUGGAUAAGAAUUGUGAUGAAAUUCAGUCUUCAGCUACGUGCCAGAGCAACGAUCUAAAUUAGACCAAUUUAAUGAAUGGCUGCAACUCUUUAAGGUAAGUUUAUAUCACUCCACGGGUCUCUUCUGACAUAACUGUGGUGUUUAUGAGCAGGGUGGUGUGUAAAGUUUUCGCAUUUGGCUCAUCCAUUUCUCUGCAUAAGCAACCACCCUGCUGUGGAGGGAGUCAUAUUUCAUUCCCAAUUGUGAUGUUCACCUUUUAACCAAACUUACAUGUAUUAAGCCAAUCCACAGUUUCUGAAUGAAUGUAUUUCUGUGCUUAAUGACCAGCAAGGGUGCUUUCUUAAUACUACGAGGGGAAGCUCCUAUCUUUUACUGUUUUCGUAUUCAAAUUUGAACAUCAUAAUGUGUCCGAAAUAUGUAAAAAAAACAAUAAAAGAUGAAACAAUGGUUCUCGAUUAAAUGUUAUUUGAUGUUUAAUGCUCUAUCAAACGAAAAAAACGCAAUCUUAUAUUUUGAACGGUUUCUGAAUGACAAACAUUUUUAGGGGGUACUUUUAUGGGGCCUUCAAAUGAAAAAUCUCAGAUUCUCAUAUUUCCUGUCAUUUGUCCUCAAAGCUACCUUUGUGCCUAAUUUCAGAUGUUUACCAUGUCGAGAAGUACCCUCGAGGUUUUUGAGACAUGCAGAUUAAGGUCUUUAUAUAGAUAUUUUAGUGCAAUCAUUGAUCUCUAGGUUGCAACCAUAAACUCACUACCUUGAGAACCUAGAUUUAGUUAAAGGCAUUAAAACCCAGGAUCUGAGUGGUGUUAACUCAACACUAACAUCUGCGUCAUCUCGUUUUCUAAUUUAAUUUGUAAAUUUCCUGAACAUGAUCCUUAAUAUCUACUCAGGAAUGGUGCUCUGUAGCCAUAUAUCUAUCCAUUUUCAAUGAAGAGCAUUACCAACAUUGCUGUUGGAUGCUCACGUUUUUCUUAAAGUAAAACAUUGACAAUUACUAUGAUUAGUUUUAGCACGUGCAUUAUUUUGCGUGUCUUUAACGGUGCACUUAAUAUUUUAUACCACAAUUCACAUUUCAAAGACCGUUAAUGAGUAAAUAAAAAAAAUGUUCUUUGCUUAGGUCCUUGGUUACCUUGAACACCUAUGAUCUGCUCGAAAGAAUACUGCAUGGUCUGGAUACAUCCUUAAGGGCAAAGCAACAAUAACGUUGAGCAACGUUCAGAAGAAUGAAAGUGGGGAAUAUAUUUUCCAAAAAACACUUCCAAAACCUUGCAGUGGUGAAAGAUAAUAUAAUUCUUGAUGUAAAUCCCAGAGAAAUGUAUUUCGUCAACAUUUGUCAUCCAAACCUCCUCCAACUGCCCACGAUGCCCCCCGGAUACCCCUCAAACAUACAGGCAUGCCUUUUGGGAAUGUCCAGACAUUAACAAGUUUUUUCAAAUCAACACUUGCUACUUUAACCACAUUCACAAAACGAGCGUCUCACCCUCACCAGACACAUCCCUAUUGAGGUUGAAACCUCAAGGCCUUUCCAGGGGGGCAAAUACAUUACUGUAUUCCAAAUGUUCAAUGUUAUGGCAAAACGCACCAUUACAGCCAACUGGAAAGAGCAUGCUCCCCCAACAGUGCAGGAAUGGGCCAAUAAACUUUCAAAAUUUGCCACUAGAGCAUCUAAGUGCCAAACUCAGAAGCUUACCACCAACCAUGGAACCCUUUCACGACCUCUCCUCCAGUGGACAUUGAUUCUUAAGAGUAUUCAUUAGGACAUUUAGGCACUUCCCCCCCUACCUUUUUUUCCUACAGGGGUAUCAGAGCUUAGGAAGACUGGGGUUGUCGAUUUUAUUUAAACAUGUAGUUUAGACAGGUUUCCAUUGAACUGUAAUUCGUAACGUGUGUUUGUACUGGUGUCAACCCCCUUUCACAUCCUCUGUACCUGAUAUCGUUUUGUUGAUUAAAUACUUUUGGGGGGAAAAAAAUCGAGCCAUCUACGCUCCUUCAUACUGGGGUCAACAAGGGUCCUUGGCACAAUCGGCAAAUACGAAAUCCACAAACUCUGAGGCAUAAGAAAAUUAGGGUUUGAUUUGUAAUACGACAACUGCUCAUUUUGUUUUAUGUUACCCUACAUUAACCCAACCAUGGAGCGGGAAGUAUUUAUUUAAAUGUAAAAUAUGAUUAAUAUGUUUUUAGUGUAAUGUCUAGUGCUGUACUGUACACGCUAAAGUAAAUAUGAAAAUUAAGAUGAGGAGGUUAAUAACAUGUACUUUUUUUGCAGUUUAAAACAUGAACUAAAAAUACUUUUACAUACUAUGAAAGAUGAUUUCAUGUGUAUUUCAUGGUCUCAUCAUCGGGAGCAGUGCAGUUAGAGUAUAGUACUUGUUUAUGAUGCAUAAAGGAAUCUCAUGGUCAACUGUGGAUGGUCAAGCCACAGGGGCACGAUGGGCAAGCUAUACCUCAAUAAAUUUGGCAACGGUCAAAUCCGCGAAGGCUGAAAUUAGAGUGGGCAAA